CGUCAGAGGCGAUUGAGCGGAAGUCGAGCCGGCAGGCAGAAGGAAAUCGCGAAACGAGGAGCGGUGUUCGAUGUGUUUCGGACAAACGGAGCGGGUGAACGCGUGGGUGUUUUGUACUGUCGAAGCGACGCAAUAGCCAUCCGCGGAAUUGAACGUUUAACGUCAGACUGAAGGCCUUCUGGCUGGCAUACACACCUUUGCCAAAGGAAGAGGAACGAGUCGAGUCUGCGCCGUUUGCACGUGGACGCGGAUCUAGAGCGUCAAGAAACGAAAAGUCACCGGCUAAGAACAGGAGGACCCUGCCAAAAAUCUAUACACGGUGUGUCUGAAAAAUUCCAGGCCCGAGUAAAAAGCCGGGAAUAGAUUUUCCAGCUGACCCUCCGAACCACGUAUCGUUGCGAAUCGGUCAAACUUUGCAUCCGAUACUGUGGCUCUACCGAAAGGAAAGAAGAGAUGAAAAUGAUGAGAAAUUGAAGUGACGUAGACUGGUAGAUUAUUUUGAAAAUUCGGACAUAUCUUGGAAUUGUUUGUGGAAGAUAAUUUCGGAAAUCACACUGGUGAAGAUAAGGUUGUCCGAUCAGUCUGUAUAUCAGCGAUGAAAUGUUAGAAUAAAUUGUUGGAUAUGUAUAUACACACGUGAAAUACAGAACGGCAAAUGAUGAUGUCUCAAGGCUAUUGGAAUAUACCAACAACGGUACAACUUUUACAU